UACGGGGGGGGCAAGCGUUGUUCGGAAUUACUGGGCGUAAAGGGCUCGUAGGUGGCCAACUAAGUCAGACGUGAAAUCCCUCAGCUUAACUGGGGAACUGCGUCUGAUACUGGAUGGCUUGAGUUUGGGAGAGGGAUGCGGAAUUCCAGGUGUAAGCGGUGAAAUGCGUAGAUAUCUGGAGGAACACCGGUGGCGAAGGCGGCGUCCUGGACCAACACUGACACUGAGGAGCGAAAGCCAGGGGAGCAAACGGG
rnacentral:rRNA from 1 species